rnacentral:rRNA from 1 species
CCUACGGGAGGCAGCAGUGGGGAAUAUUGGACAAUGGGGGGAACCCUGAUCCAGCGACGCCGCGUGAGUGAUGAAGUAUUUCGGUAUGUAAAGCUCUAUCAGCAGGGAAGAAAGAAAUGACGGUACCUGACUAAGAAGCCCCGGCGAACUACGGGCCAGCAGCCCCGGUAAUACGGAGGGGGCAAGCGUUAUCCGGAUUUACUGGGUGUAAAGGGAGCGUAGGCGGCGAUGCAAGUCGGAAGGGAAAGGCGGGGGCCCAACCCCUGGACUGCUUUGGAAACUGUAUGGCUUGAGUGCAGGAGAGGUAAGUGGAAUGCCUGGUGUAGCGGUGAAAUGCGUAGAUAUUAGGAGGAACACCAGUGGCGAAGGCGGCUUACUGGACUGUAACUGACGUUGAGGCACGAAAGCGUGGGGAGCAAACAGGAUUAGAUACCCCAGUAGUC